CUUAAUUUAAAUUGCACCAAAAAGCCGGGUAAGGAAACUCAUUUGAUACUCUCAAACCAGCAACUUUCCCAGCAGAGGUUUAUACACAGGAAUGGAGGACUAAAACAAAACACCUAAUUCAGUGCAUCCAGUUCCUUAUAGUCUUGUAAUAAACACAUGGAGGAAAAUAAAACAAAUUUCAUGUCAUCAGCACACUAGACUAAACAUUGCAGCAUCUCCAUUAAGUGCUGCUGUUCUGUCUUAAUAAACAAACAAAAAAUUCCUCCCAAAACCAAACACCACCACCCUCACCCCAAAGAACAACUAUUGGAUUCCAAAGGGAACAGGAAGUUUCAUGUUUCAUAAAAGCCCAAAUAUUCUUUGGGAAACAGUGGUAGAACUCAGUAACCUCCAGUACCUCUCCUCUUCCAUCUCAUCAUUUUAUUGAUGGUCAUUAAGUAGAAACCAGUACUCAUUAUCUUUUCUUAUCCAGUAAGUGAAGAGGAUGUAUUUUACCCAAAGAAAGCUUUAAAUGGCAAACUGAUUUCUUAAAAGCUAUCUAUUGCCAGGCUGAUAGGAGGGUCCUCUACUUCCUAUUUACUCUCCACAACUCUUGGUUUUUGUGGGCAUGCUAUGUGCAGAAAAGAGCAAAGCACUGAUCUUUACAUUGCCAUCAACUUAAAACUGAUGUUAAAGAAGAUACCUGAAAUGCCUGUAUCCUUUUAUAUGUAUUCUUCAGAUUACCUCUGUAGAGUGAGACUCAUCCACUGUUCCUGCCCAAGAGGCUGAAUAUAAUUACACAGGAGCUAUGAUUCUGCAAGUUCUGGUGUUCAAACUAGAAAAUGUCAGUACUGAGGUUUUUCAUGUACAGUUGCUGCAAGUGGUUCCAGUUCACAGAAGACUGUGCAGACUGUCUGCAGCAGGAGUCAAAAACACAGGAUAAAAUGCAGUUCACUGUUCACAAUUCAGCUGAAUAAGCCUCUGCAAAAACUUCCACCAAAGAAUUUUCCAAUAACAUCAUCAUGUAGUACCAGGAAACCAUCAGCAUCCAGAAUACAGAUAACAGCAGGAGAACAAGGAACUCACACUCACUUGAGGAUCCUUAAGGAAGUUGUGAGUGUUGACACAGCCAGUUAAGGUGUUGUUAUGAGCACUUCUUUUGAAUGUGGAAAGCAGAGCAUUAGUAAAAGUAUGAAGUUUCUUAUUUCUUUUAUCUGAGCUCCAGAGUUACAUAUGCUAAAAUAACUUCUAAAUUAAAAGAUACACAUUGUAUACAAAUGAAUAAAAAUACAGCUCUAACUUA